rnacentral:rRNA from 1 species
GGUCCCGCCUGCCCUGUGACCAAAGUGUUUAACGGCCGCGGUAUCCUGACCGUGCGAAGGUAGCGUAAUCAUUUGUCUUUUAAAUGAAGACCAGUAUGAAUGGCAUCACGAGGGUUUAACUGUCUCCUUCCCCCAGUCAAUGAAAUUGAUCUGCCCGUGCAGAAGCGGACAUAAAAACAUAAGACGAGAAGACCCUAUGGAGCUUUAGGCGAAAGUCAAACAUGUACAAGGACCCGAAACAUUAACAAAUAACAUAAAGGCCUAACCUAACCAAAUGUAAAAUGACUUAUAUGCCUUCGGUUGGGGCGACCAUGGAGGAAAAUAAAGCCUCCACAUGGAAUGGGGACAUCCCCUAAACCAAGAAAGACAAUUCUAAGUAACAGAACAUCUGACCAAAAAUGACCCAGGACCUAAUCCUGAUCAAUGAACCAAGUUACCCUAGGGAUAACAGCGCAAUCCUUUCCCAGAGUCCAUAUCGACGAAAGGGUUUACGACCUCGAUGUUGGAUCAGGACAUCCUAAUAGUGCAGCCGCUAUUAAGGGUUCGUUUGUUCAACGAUUAACAGUCCUACGUGAUCUGAGUUCAGACCGGG